ensembl:lncRNA
CAGAAUUGUAAAAAGCUUUUGUCAAUAGAAUUUCAUACCCAAUUAUUGUCACGGGACUCUCAAAUUUUAUUUUCUGCAAUUCCUCUGGCAAAAGGCCAGAUCUCACAUGACCUCCAUAAUUUUCUUAAUCGCAUCAAUGAAAUCAUCUUUCCUUCAAGGCAACCCUUUUUUUUCCCCCCCCUCUGUUAAGAGACCUGAUUUCUCUUAGAAUUUGGAACCAUUUCCUAACUGACCAUAAAAAAUUUUCUCUUACAGAGAGACACAGCUGCAAACCUUUGAUUUUGUUACAGUCAUACUCGACGGUACCCACCCAACACAGGAUGCUGUCCAGAGAGGGCUUUUCCUUGUUCGCUUGAUGAGAAAUGCUUUUGCCAAGCGGCAACUCAGAACACAGGUGAUCUAAGCCCCAGCUUCAGGAAAAAUCCUGAAAUCUAAGAAAAGUGCUUAACUUAGCAAAUGUCGGUGAUGGGAUCAACUCAGCGGAGCUCUUUUCUGCAAGACUUUGGUCUACCUGCCCUCCCUGCCCAAACUGUGCUCGGUAAGGUAGGUGGCAGAGAGCACUGUAAUUCAAGAGCAGCUAUUGCUCGUUUCUUUGUCACUCCAUAGGUCACUGGCUAGCAGAAAUCUCUGCAGAAAUUCAUCCAAGGAUACUUUGAAAACUUGGCCUCCACUGAUGAGAAAAUUAAGUGGUGACUCAUGCUCCCAUCAGCUCCAGGCUUGAUUACUGCAAUUUGAUGGACUGAGAAACUGAUAUUCCACCGAGACAGCAAUUUGCUUAGGGGAACAGCUGAGAGGCCUCAUUGGCACCAAUUGCUUCCAACACAUCUCUCUUGUCCUUUUAAUCACUAGCAAAUUUAAUUUCACUUCCCACUGAAGAUCUCACUCUCCGCUUUUCUGGCAAGAGAACAAUUUGGAGGCUGAUUUUGUAACCUCUGCUACAGCUCUGGACUCCAGCAUGAAGCAAACUUGCUUGUAGCAAUAUCUCAGAACUGUAUUUCCUGG